AUCCUGAAGACAGAGGAGGCAGCAAGCUUGUAUUUCUCUCCAAAAGAAGAUAUCAAGAAAGGAAAUUGAUUAAUUAACCAGCAAGGGAAAAAAAGGGAAAGGAGAAGCUAAGUUUGUUAGUGCUAGUAACUUUCUAGGGUUUGAUUUCUGGCUAGAAGUGUGUGGUUUUGACAGAGGAAGAGCAGUUAGCCUGAGUGGGGGAUUAACUCCAGGUGAGUGACUCAGCUUGUGAGGGAUCACAUUCCUGAGGAGAGUCAGAUUGCCAGCAGAUCUUGAAGACAAAGUUCAGACCAGAGGGCGUUUGUGGACGUGGGUUUGGAAAUAGAUAUCGAAUGAAUUUUGCAGGAGUUUAACGGGAGAUUGGCAGGGAACUUUGUAGGAAGGAAAACAAGUCAUCCCCAUUCAUCACAGAGGAGACACACAGCACAAGGAUAAGGUAAGCUUGAGACCUGACUCUCUGAGGUGUAGAAGGUAGGAGCAGAUGACUUGGGAGGACACCUGUGAGACGGGAAUCAUCCUGGAAUCCAGGAACUUGGAGAAGCGGGUCCAUUUGUGCCCAUAAGCCUUAAUCGUGGAUGGUUUAUGCGUGGCCAAGAGGACUCGUCGUAGAUUCAGAGGGAAGGAGGCCGGAUCCACCAAGCCAUCAGGCUGAACAGCUGCAGAGGUACUCAGUACCGAAGUCUUCGGGAUCGAGACAACAAGGUCAGAAUGGAGUGAAGGAUCCGAAGAGGGUUUUUGAGCCCUAGGCUCCGAAGGCAACGUGGCCUCGAUAUCGAUGAGAGCCGGCCCCAAAGGGGAAGAUAGCGGCUAGAAGCGCGAGCCCUGAUGCAUGUUGGAAGGUGUUUGUAUAUUCGCGGGCUGCACAGAGGUGGCUGAAGAUUUCAAGGCUUGUUCCCACAACCAAGACAGAAGGUGGGAAGUCCGGUUUUUUUGUGCCUGCUUGGUAAAGUUUUUACAAUGCGUACACAAGUCUACACAGUGCUCCUCUCCCAGACAAAAUAAACACCGGCUGUGGCCGUCCAAAACUGGGAGUUUUGCCCGAAAACAAGCACAAUGUUUGAAAAUAAGUUUAGUGGCCAUAAGCUGCGGAACGCCAGUGAAAUGCCAAGCCCCGAGGGACUAGGGAGUGGAGGAGGCGGGGAGGGAACAGAAGGAAAUAAAAAUGCUAAUGUGGAAAGAGGGAACUGAAAAUAAAUGGAAGAUAAACAGAAGGGAAAGGGAUAAGAAAUUCUCAAAAACUCUCCAACUCAAAGUACUCACAAGAAGUUGAUUUGUCCGUGGAUGAAAAAAAGACCAAGGAAGGAAGCCCGCGCAGCUGUAUAUAACCUGAGGAGCUGGAGCUACCACCAAAACUUCUAGGGCAGGAUCUAGCUUAAAGAAUCUUCGAUGAGGUCUCUGCGCAGGCACAAAGCCCAAUCGUGUUGAACACAAGAGACCAUGUUGAAGAAGCAUCAAUACUUUUUCUAUCUUGCUUCUUCAAAGUCCAGCUUUCGCAUCCAUACAGUGUCACGGGAAAAACCAUUGUCUGAACGAUACUAAUCUUUGUAGGUAUAGACAUGUCACAGCAUCUAAAUAUCCUUCCCAAGGCCUUCAUUACAACCCUACCAAGUGCUAGUCUGUGGCGUAUUUCUUGACUGCUGGAUCCUUUACUGUUGUUGGUCAAUCCUAAAAGACUGGGUAAAUUCACAUUCAGGUAAUGAAAGAGAGACCAAAUUUCUAGACAUGCUAAAAUGACUGUGCCUUAGAACAGAUAGUCAUGGAACCAAACAGAAAUGGCAACCUUGGACUUAACUCUGAGUGGUGCCUGGUGUGGA